rnacentral:rRNA from 1 species
UACAGAGGUCCCAAGCGUUGUUCGGAUUCAUUGGGCGUAAAGGGUGCGUAGGUGGCGCCGUAAGUCAGGUGUGAAAUCUCGGGGCUUAACUCCGAAACUGCAUUUGAUACUGCGGUGCUUGAGGACUGGAGAGGAGACUGGAAUUUACGGUGUAGCAGUGAAAUGCGUAGAGAUCGUAAGGAAGACCAGUGGCGAAGGCGGGUCUCUGGACAGCUCCUGACACUGAGGCACGAAGGCCAGGGGAGCAAACGGG